UUUUUNNCCUGGCUCAGGAUGAACGCUGGCGGGCGUGCCUAAUACAUGCAAGUCGAACGAACUUCCGUUAAUUGAUUAUGASGUGCUUGCACUGAAUGAGAUUUUAACACGAAGUGAGUGGCGGACGGGUGAGUAACACGUGGGUAACCUGCCCAGAAGCAGGGGAUAACACCUGGAAACAGAUGCUAAUACCGUAUAACAGAGAAAACCGCCUGGUUUUCUUUUAAAAGAUGGCUCUGCUAUCACUUCUGGAUGGACCCGCGGCGCAUUAGCUAGUUGGUGAGGUAACGGCUCACCAAGGCGAUGAUGCGUAGCCGACCUGAGAGGGUAAUCGGCCACAUUGGGACUGAGACACGGCCCAGACUCCUACGGGAGGCAGCAGUAGGGAAUCUUCCACAAUGGACGCAAGUCUGAUGGAGCAACGCCGCGUGAGUGAAGAAGGGUUUCGGCUCGUAAAGCUCUGUUGUUAAAGAAGAACGUGGGUGAGAGUAACUGUUCACCCAGUGACGGUAUUUAACCAGAAAGCCACGGCUAACUACGUGCCAGCA
rnacentral:rRNA from 1 species